rnacentral:rRNA from 1 species
AUUGAACGCUGGCGGCAGGCUUAACACAUGCAAGUCGAACGGAGUGGCGGACGGGUGAGUAAUGCCUAGGAAUCUGCCUGGUAGUGGGGGAUAACGUCCGGAAACGGGCGCUAAUACCGCAUACUAUCAGAUGAGCCUAGGUCGGAUUAGCUAGUUGGUGGGGUAAAGGCCUACCAAGGCGACGAUCCGUAACUGGUCCGAGAGGAUGAUCAGUCACACUGGAACUGAGACACGGUCCAGACUCCUACGGGAGGCAGCAGUGGGGAGUAUUGGACAAUGGGCGAAGGCCUGAUGCAGCCAUGCCGCGUGUGUGAAGAAGGUCUUCGGGUUGUAAAGCACUUUAAGUUGGGAGGCGUUACCAACAGAAUAAGCACCGGCUAACUUCGUGCCAGCAGCCGCGGUAAUUC